rnacentral:rRNA from 1 species
GAGCGGUAGAGAGAAGCUUGCUUCUCUUGAGAGCGGCGGACGGGUGAGUAAUGCCUAGGAAUCUGCCUGGUAGUGGGGGAUAACGUUCGGAAACGGACGCUAAUACCGCAUACGUCCUACGGCAGAAAGCAGGGGACCUUCGGGCCUUGCGCUAUCAGAUGAGCCUAGGUCGGAUUAGCUAGUUGGUGGGGUAAUGGCUCACCAAGGCGACGAUCCGUAACUGGUCUGAGAGGAUGAUCAGUCACACUGGAACUGAGACACGGUCCAGACUCCUACGGGAGGCAGCAGUGGGGAAUAUUGGACAAUGGGCGAAAGCCUGAUCCAGCCAUGCCGCGUGUGUGAAGAAGGUCUUCGGAUUGUAAAGCACUUUAAGUUGGGAGGAAGGGUUGUAGAUUAAUACUCUGCAAUUUUGACGUUACCGACAGAAUAAGCACCGGCUAACUCUGUG